AUUGAACGCUGGCGGCAUGCUUUACACAUGCAAGUCGAACGGCAGCGCGGGGGCAACCCUGGCGGCGAGUGGCGAACGGGUGAGUAAUGCAUCGGAACGUAUCCUGUAAUGGGGGAUAACGUAGCGAAAGUUACGCUAAUACCGCAUACGCUCGAGAGAGGAAAGUGGGGGAUCGCAAGACCUCACGUUAUAGGAGCGGCCGAUGUCCGAUUAACUAGUUGGUGGGGUAAAGGCCUACCAAGGCGACGAUCGGUAGCUGGUCUGAGAGGAUGAUCAGCCACACUGGGACUGAGACACGGCCCAGACUCCUACGGGAGGCAGCAGUGGGGAAUUUUGGACAAUGGGCGAAAGCCUGAUCCAGCCAUGCCGCGUGCGGGAAGAAGGCC
rnacentral:rRNA from 1 species